AAAAGAUAAUACUAAACUUAUUUUUUUAAAGCUGCGCGAAGCGCGGUUCUAUUUCUUAGUUAUUAAAUGUAUUUUGUGCCUAUGCUCCCUAUUCGGGUGAAAUUUUUUGUUUUGAUUAUAAAUAUAUGUCGCUUAUGGGUAAAAUUUCACAUAUUGAUCUAUACACAUACAUAAAGAGACAAAUUGAAAUGGAAUUUGUUAGAACAAAUAAAAACUUAUUUUCAAUAGACAAUGGCUAGGGAUGGCAAUGAGGUAGGGUGCUGAGAAGACAUAUCCCAUUCCCUGCCCAUUAAAAAAUUUACCUUUAUUCUUCACCCCAUUCUAUAAUAAAUUUAAUGGGGGUGAGAAUGGAAAAGUCAUUUCCGACAUGGGGAAUAAAUUAAAAAAUAUAUAUAUAUAUAUAAUUAUGAGAGAAUAUUAUGAUCAUAAUUUGAAUAUUAAGAGUGGAUUUUGUAACCUUAACACUUUUUAAAAGAAUAAUUUAUUCCUCUACAAUUUAUUCCUAUUUAAUAAUUGAUUGUUAGAUUUUUAAAUUUCUUAUGCUUCGAUCUCGGACUCAUUACUUUAUAUUAUAACUAGACAUUCUUAUAAUUAGGAGUAAUUAACAUUUUUGACUCGUGUCAAAAUACAAAAACAAAAUCACACAAGGCAUAUAACAACUUAUGGAAUCAUCUACCCUUUUACACGAUAACAGUCAUGUAACUUGCUAAAAUACACAACUAUUGUUUGGUAAAUAGUCAGAUGACAUAUUUAGUAAAAAAUAUAUUUUUUACUCUAAUAUAAUGCCAGGAUAUCAUAACAACUACAACAUUUUUUCACAUUCACACGACUGCAGUCAUGAAGUUCAUACAAACACAGCAUAAGUCGUGGAUGGAUGUAAUAGAAUGGUAGAGUCUCAUAAUAGCUGGAACAUUCUACACACUUGCAUGGAUGCAAUCAUAUAAAUUCAUACAUAUACGACAACAGUCAUGUAACUUACUAAAAUACAUGAGUAUAGUUCAUUAAAUGGUCAGAGGAUAUACUUAGUGAAAAAAUUUUUUUUUGCACUAAUAGAAAGCUAGAGUGUCAUAACAGCUACAACAUUUUUUACACUUACACGACUGCAGUCAUGAAGUUCAUACAAACACAGCAUAAGUCGUGGGAACAUGCUAAAAUACAUUACUACAGUUCAUUAAAUAGUUAGGGGGACAUAUUUCUUCUUCAAAAAAAUAUAUUUUUUGUACUAAUAGAAUGCUAAAGUGUUGUAAUAGAUAGAACAUUUUACACACUUGUGCAACUGUAAUCGCAUAAAUUCAUAAUUAUACGAUAAUGGUCAUUUAACUUAUUCAAAUACACGAUUGUAGCCCAGUAAUAGUUAGAAGACAAAUUUAGUGAAAAAUAAUAUUUUUUACACUAAUAGAAUGCUAGGGUGUCAUAACAAAUGGAAUAUUUUGCACACUUACAUAUUUGCAAUCAUGUAAAUUCAUAUAUACUCCACUCUUGUCGUGUAAAACGAGUGUAAAUAAAAUUUUGAGAACAAAAUGAGAUUUCACAAAUGUAUUUAGAAAAUCCAAUGCAUAUAGUGAUAUACUACAAAUGUAACGAAAAUGUGAGUUGUUUUAUUGUUUAUCACAGACCAAACGAAACCCUAAAAAUAAUAUAAUGUCAAGAAAAUGCAUAAAUAACACAUAAAAUAAAUGCAAAAUUUAAAAGUACCUUAUUAAUUAGAUGAAUAAUGCACUUAGUUGGAAAGUAAAAUCUCAACACAUUGGUUGUUCACGUGUAUUUUUUGUUGCGUGGGGAGAAAUUGUGUGAGGAGUGAAAAAGUUGUGAUUUUAAUGUAUGUUUUAUAUUUUUCCUGUAGGAAUAUUUUAGUCAAUACUCAACACAAAAAGGUAUAUCUACAUAAUUAUCAACUACAGGGUGUAAGUAAAUGAAUACUCUACUUUUGGGGUAUAUUUAAUUAUAAACCCCAGAAAAAAUGUAUUAGCGAUGUAUUUGUAAUUGUAAUCAGUUUGGUUUCAGUUUUGACUAUUGCCAACCUAGAUAAAACCAUUUAAUUUGGUUCUCAUGAAACCGAACAGAUUAAGUGCGGGUCGAGUUGUCCGUUCAAUUCGGAUCGUCUGUUUUUUGCCCACUCCUAUGAAGCAUUGGUACAUCCAGCCUAGAAGGAUUCCAACAAACCCAUAUUCCCCCUUUUGGGGAAAGAUUAUAGGAUUGAGCACAUAAGAAUAGGUUUCCCUUCAUUUCCUUAUGAGUUGCCCUGUGUAAACUUUAAGAAAGCAGGUUUAGUAAGGUUAGCUUCCACCUUGGUUGUGUAUAAAGAAAAUUAUUAUAUUUAUUGAUUUAUUUUCGAAGUAAAAAUAAAAAAUUAUUUUUUAAAUAAUAAUUCUAAAGGAAGUAAAAAGAUAUCUUCUUAAGUAUUUUUGUUUUUUGAAUUUUUUUAAUAACUCGUUGAUUGAUGAUACUCAAGAUAUAGUUAAAAAUUAGUUGAACUAUGAGCUCUUUUACGUUCCUUUGUGUGUUAAAGCUACUAAAUAUAAGGAGGACUUACAUAUAAAUUUUACCAAAGGUCCCCGAUACUCUAGAGCUGACUUGCAUAUGAACAUUUAGGGCUCAAAGUACUAUACUAGGAUAUCUAAAUGUUGAAGUGCUUCCUAGUAAUUAUGUUUUUCUGGGUUUGUAUUUGUAUAUAUUACUUGUAAAUUUUUCAAUUAAAUUCGAAAUUGAAGAUAAUUCUAAUUAUUUAGUUUAAAGCCCACUUUUGAACGAUGCAACGAUAAGUAAAAAUUAAUGCCCAACAAGUAUGAUGGUCCUAAUGGAAUCCUAGUAUUUUGAGUCGGAGAAUUCUCUAAAAAAAAAGCAGAAUAUUUGGUGGACGAACGGAAGAUCGUUUUGAAGAAUUGCUUGUGAAAGAUUCCUGUAUAAGAGUUCCAUUAACAUGCCUUUUGGUGUCCUAGCUGUGGAGCAACGACACCAAUCUACUUAAAACACACCAGAUUAAUAAAUUAAAAAAUAAUAGGUUCAAUUCGAUGUUAUCUAAGGAUAAGGGGGCCGUGUCUCAGUCCUAAUGUAGCUAAUCAUCCAAUUGGGCAUAUUAACAGGCUUAUUCCAUCUCAAUGUCAGCCCGCCUCAGCACUUAUACAAAGGAUUGCAUAUGGACAAUAUUGAAAUUUUGCUUUCCAACAGCACCGUUGCUAUGUUUGUUGUUGUUGGGCCGCGAAUCCUCUUCAAAGAGAGGGCGGCCUUUAGGUGAAUACCAAUUUUUACAAUUUCAUUCAAAUUGUUUCAUUUAUAUUUAGAUAAAAAUCAUAAGCAUUAGAACAGAAAUGUGGGUGACAUAUUGAUAUCGACACUGAUAUACACUUUAGUGUAGGGAUGGCAAUGGAGUAUAUAUGGAUUGGAUCUACUUUACUCCACAUCCAAAUCCAUAAUAAAAAUUAAGAUCCCUAGCUGCUUCAGAUCCAUGAUGGAUUUAUAUUUUUCACUUCAUAUCUAAAUCCAAAACAAAAAAUAAAGAUCUAUAUCUGCUCUAAAUCCAAAAAGAAAUAUUAAAAUCCAAAUCUGCUAUAGAUCCGCCAUGAAUUCUAAAUUUCAAUAAUAAAAUAUCAAUAAUUUUUUAGAAAGAAAAUUUAAGACUAAAAUACAUUGGCAACAAUUAAAUUAUAUAAUUUGUAUAAAAAAUCUAAUAAGUAUUGUAGCUUCUACUUUUACACCAAAAUAAACAAAUGAGAAAGAUAAUAAAAUAUCCAUCAAAAGUAAUUGCAGGAAUAAGAUCAUUACAAUAUUCUAAUGUCUCAUUUACCAUCCUGAUAUCCACGGCACACCAUCAUCAUUUCCUAUAUCAUUAAAUAAUAACAUAUCAUUUAAAAAUGAUUUAUUAUAUUUAGUGCUUUAUUAUUUUUAUUAUG
rnacentral:lncRNA from 1 species